UACGUAGGGUGCAAGCGUUGUCCGGAAUUACUGGGCGUAAAGCGCGCGUAGGCGGCUUUUCAAGUCGAUUGUGAAAUCCCCGGGCUUAACCUGGGAAUUGCAUUCGAUACUGGAUAGCUAGAGUUCGGCAGAGGGAAGCGGAAUUUCUGGUGUAGCGGUGAAAUGCGUAGAUAUCAGAAGGAACAUCAGUGGCGAAAGCGGCUUCCUGGACCAGAACUGACGAUCAGGCUCGAAAGCGUGGGGAGCAAACAGG
rnacentral:rRNA from 1 species